rnacentral:rRNA from 1 species
CGUAGGUGGCAAGCGUUGUCCGGAUUAUUGGCGUAAGCGCGCGCAGGUGGUUAAUAAGUCUGAUGUGAAGCCCACGGCUCAACCGUGGAGGUCAUUGGAACUGUUAAACUUGAGUGCAGGAGAGAAAGUGGAAUUCCUAGUGUAGCGGUGAAAUGCGUAGAGAUUAGGAGGAACACCAGUGGCGAAGGCGGCUUUUGGCCUGUAACUGACACUGAGGCGCGAAAGCGUGGGAGCAAACAGGAUU